rnacentral:rRNA from 1 species
GACGAACGCUGGCGGCGUGCUUAACACGUGCAAGUCGAACGGAAAGGCCCUGCUUUUGUGGGGUGCUCGAGUGGCGAACGGGUGAGUAACACGUGAGUAACCUGCCCUUGACUUUGGGAUAACUUCAGGAAACUGGGGCUAAUAUCGGAUAGGAGCUCCUGCUGCAUGGUGGGGGUUGGAAAGUUUCGGCGGUUGGGGAUGGACUCGCGGCUUAUCAGCUUGUUGGUGGGGUAGUGGCUUACCAAGGCUUUGACGGGUAGCCGGCCUGAGAGGGUGACCGGCCACAUUGGGACUGAGAUACGGCCCAGACUCCUACGGGAGGCAGCAGUGGGGAAUAUUGCACAAUGGGCGGAAGCCUGAUGCAGCAACGCCGCGUGCGGGAUGACGGCCUUCGGGUUGUAAACCGCUUUCGCCUGUGACGAAGCGUGAGUGACGGUAAUGGGUAAAGAAGCACCGGCUAACUACGUGCCAGCAGCCGCGGUGAUACGUAGGGUGCGAGCGUUGUCCGGAUUUAUUGGGCGUAAAGGGCUCGUAGGUGGUUGAUCACGUCGGAAGUGUAAUCUUGGGGCUUAACCCUGAGCGUGCUUUCGAUACGGGUUGACUUGAGGAAGGUAGGGGAGAAUGGAAUUCCUGGUGGAGCGGUGGAAUGCGCAGAUAUCAGGAGGAACACCAGUGGCGAAGGCGGUUCUCUGGGCCUUUCCUGACGCUGAGGAGCGAAAGCGUGGGGAGCGAACAGGCUUAGAUACCCUGGUAGUCCACGCUGUAAACGGUGGGUACUAGGUGUGGGGUCCAUUCCACGGGUUCCGUGCCGUAGCUAACGCUUUAAGUACCCCGCCUGGGGAGUACGGCCGCAAGGCUAAAACUCAAAGGAAUUGACGGGGCCCCGCACAAGCGGCGGAGCAUGCGGAUUAAUUCGAUGCAACGCGUAGAACCUUACCUGGGUUUGACAUGGAUCGGGAGUGCUCAGAGAUGGGUGUGCCUCUUUUGGGGUCGGUUCACAGGUGGUGCAUGCCUGUCGUCAGCUCGUGUCGUGAGAUGUUGGGUUAAGUCCCGCAACGAGCGCAACCCUUGUUCACUGUUGCCAGCACGUUAUGGUGGGGACUCAGUGGAGACCGCCGGGGUCAACUCGGAGGAAGGUGGGGAUGACGUCAAGUCCUCAUGCCCCUUAUGUCCAGGGCUUCACGCAUGCUACAAUGGCUGGUACAGAGAGUGGCGAGCCUGUGAGGGUGAGCGAAUCUCGGAAAGCCGGUCUCAGUUCGGAUUGGGGUCUGCAACUCGACCUCAUGAAGUCGGAGUCGCUAGUAAUCGCAGAUCAGCAACGCUACGGUGAAUACGUUCCCGGG